UGUCAGCAGCCGCGGUAAUACAUAGGGUGCAAGCGUUGUCCGGAAUUAUUGGGCGUAAAGAGCUCGUAGGUGGCUCGUCACGUCGAAUGUGAAACCCUGAGGCUCAACCUCAGGCCUGCAUCCGAUACGGGCGAACUGGAGUGUGGUAGGGGAGACUGGAAUUCCUGGUGUAGCGGUGGAAUGCGCAGAUAUCAGGAGGAACACCAAUGGCGAAGGCAGGUCUCUGGGCCACUACUGACACUGAGGAGCGAAAGCGUGGGGAGCAAACAGGAUUAGAUACCCUGGUAGUCCACGCUGUAAACGGUGGGCACUAGUUGUGGGAACCUUCCACGGUUUCUGCGACGCAGCUAACGCAUUAAGUGCCCCGCCUGGGGAGUACGAUCGCAAGAUUAAAACUCAAAGGAAUUGGCGG
rnacentral:rRNA from 1 species